CCUACGGGAGGCAGCAGUGAGGAAUAUUGGUCAAUGGACGGAAGUCUGAACCAGCCAAGCCGCGUGCAGGAUGACGGCUCUAUGAGUUGUAAACCGCUUUUGUACGGGAAUAAUAGUCCUUACGUGUAGGGAUUCGAAUGUAUCGUACGAAUAAGGAUCGGCUAACUCCGUGCCAGCAGCCGCGGUAAUACGGAGGAUUCGAGCGUUAUCCGGAUUUAUUGGGUUUAAAGGGUGCGUAGGCUGUCGGAUAAGUUAGCGGUCAAAUGUCGGGGCUUAACCCCGUGCCUGCCUUUGAUACUGUUCGACUAGAGUGCGCAUGCAGCAGGCGGAAUGAGUAGUGUAGCGGUGAAAUGCAUAGAUAUUACUCAGAACACCGAUUGCGAAGGCAGCUUGCUGAUCCGCAUCUGACGCUGAUGCACGAAGGCGUGGGUAGCGAACAGGAUUAGAUACCCCUGUAGUC
rnacentral:rRNA from 1 species